rnacentral:tRNA from 1 species
GGGCGAUUAGCUCAGCGGUAGAGCACUGGCCUCACAUGCCAGGGGUCGCAGGUUCGAACCCUGCAUCGCCCACCA